ensembl:lncRNA
CAUGGAUGCACUUGAACUCACCUAGGUGUUUGGCCGUGAUCGGAUGCUCCAUGGAUGCCCCUUGCGUGUAAGAGGAUGGAGACCAAUAAUGGAACCCCAGGCUGAUUUUAGCUUCUGCUCUGAUCAAGAUCGACAUGUUGCUUCAGUGUUGGAGAGAGACGAAGGAUGGACAUACUCAGGUUGGUCGAAGAAUUCUUCCAUGGUCACAGUCGCUGUGGUUGCACCUGUGUUCCAGGUGUGCAUAGCCCAACAAUCAACACAUUCCAGCCGAUUCAUAUUUUUCACGGUCAAAAGGUCUCUGUGUUCGGGCCAUGGGGAUGAAUGUGAGUAA